rnacentral:pre_miRNA from 1 species
AGGAGGAACAACCCCAGUGCUGGCGGCGAGCUCUGGAGCCCUGGAUUCAGCCCCCCAACAGUAACUCCGGAGCUCUCUAUCUGCAGGGCUUGGAGGCUCCGGGGCGGG